UACAGAGGGUGCGAGCGUUAAUCGGAAUUACUGGGCGUAAAGCGUGCGUAGACGGUUAUGUAAGUUAGGUGUGAAAGCCCCGGGCUCAACCUGGGAAUUGCAUUUAAGACUGCAUAGCUAGGGUGCGGAAGAGGGAAGCGGAAUUUCCGGUGUAGCGGUGAAAUGCGUAGAUAUCCGGAGGAACACCGGUGGCGAAGGCGGCUUCCUGGACCGACACUGACGCUGAGGCGCGAAAGCUAGGGGAGCAAACGGG
rnacentral:rRNA from 1 species